ACUCAAAUGAAUAGACGGGGGUCCGCACAAGCGGUGGAACAUGUGGUUUAAUUCGACACUACGCGAGGAACCUUACCUGGGUUUGACAUGUAACUGCUACUGGUGGAAACACUGGGUUUUGUAGCAAUACAAACGGUUACACAGGUGCUGCAUGGCUGUCGUCAGCUCGUGUCGUGAGACGUCGGGUUAAGUCCUUGAACGAGCGCAACCCUUGCCGUUAGUUGCUCAUCUGCAAAGAUAGCACUCUAGCGGGACUGCCUAGGAAACUAGGAGGAAGGUGGGGAUGACGUCAAGUCCUCAUGGCCCUUAUGCCCAGGGCUACACACGUGUUACAAUGGCGAGCAACAGAGGGAUGCAAGACCGCGAGGUGGAGCUAAUCCUAAAAACUCGUCUAAGUUCAGAUUGAAGUCUGCAACCCGACUUCAUGAAGUUGAAAUCGCUAGUAAUCGCAUAUCAGAAUGAUGCGGUGAAUACGUUCUCGGACCUUGCACACACCGCCCGU
rnacentral:rRNA from 1 species